rnacentral:rRNA from 1 species
AGGGAAUAUUGGACAAUGGGCGAAAGCCUGAUCCAGCCAUGCCGCGUGAGUGAUGAAGGCCUUAGGGUUGUAAAGCUCUUUCAGCGGGGAAGAUAAUGACGGUACCCGCAGAAGAAGCCCCGGCUAACUUCGUGCCAGCAGCCGCGGUAAUACGAAGGGGGCUAGCGUUGCUCGGAAUCACUGGGCGUAAAGCGCACGUAGGCGGCUUUCUAAGUCAGGGGUGAAAUCCUGGAGCUCAACUCCAGAACUGCCUUUGAUACUGGAAAGCUUGAGUUCGGGAAAGGUGAGUGGAACUGCGAGUGUAGAGGUGAAAUUCGUAGAUAUUCGCAAGAACACCAGUGGCGAAGGCGGCUCACUGGCCCGAUACUGACGCUGAGGUGCGAAAGCGUGGGGAGCAAACA